GUGAGGAAUUUUCCGCAAUGGGCGAAAGCCUGACGGAGCAAUGCCGCGUGAAGGAUGAAGGCCUAUGGGUUGUAAACUUCUUUUCUUAGAGAAGAAUAUUGACGGUAUCUGAGGAAUAAGCAUCGGCUAACUCUGUGCCAGCAGCCGCGGUAAGACAGAGGAUGCAAGCGUUAUCCGGAAUGAUUGGGCGUAAAGCGUCUGUAGGUGGCUUCAAAAGUCUCCUGUCAAAGAUUAGGGCUUAACCCUGGGCCGGCAGGAGAAACUCUGAGGCUAGAGUUUGGUAGGGGCAGAGGUAAUUCCCGGUGGAGCGGUGAAAUGCGUAGAGAUCGGGAGGAACACCAAAGGCGAAAGCACUCUGCUGGGCCACAACUGACACUGAGAGACGAAAGCGAGGGGAGCAAAAGGGAUUAGAAACCCCAGUAGUCC
rnacentral:rRNA from 1 species